UGGUUUGUUUCCAACACCUGGGGGGUUUUGGUGCUCUGUUGCCCUAAAGCAGCACAGAUGGGGUUCAUUUACCUGAAUCUGACCUCUUAGGAGGGGCCUCUUGCCUCCCUGGGUAAUUCAGUGCUGAGCUGGAGGUGCUCUCCUAACCCAGCAGGUAACUUGGCUCUGGACAGAGAAAUGGAGGAAGUAUCUGGCAGAUUCACACCGUGGAGAGCAGCACUUGCUUGGAGAAAUUGCUGUCUAACAGAUCCUUUGUGGACUUCCGACCAAAACCAUCCAGUGCAACAUAUGGGGAAGGUUUGUGCCCUGAUGUGACAUGUGGCAACAGCGUGUGAGGCUUUGGAUGGUCCUGUUACUGCACUGAUAUAUCCAUUCUUAGUCAUGUCCUCCUGUGAUGCAAGAAAGGGGUAUGUUCUUGCUCAUGGUGGUCACCUUCUGAAUUGCUCCCAAGUGCCUGGACAAAUCCCAUAGGGAUCUCAUUCCUCCUGCAAGGCUGGCAUUUGGUUCAAGCAGCACUGACCUGUGUGGAUGCUCUGAAGGUUGAACUAGAGGGAGGACCUAGCCCCUCACUGCCUACCUUCUCCUGCAAGGAAAACAAACUGUGCUCAGGGUUGGGCAGUGCUGUGAGCCAAGCCUGGACAUCCCUCCUUGGGACAAUCUCCUGCCACAGUGGUGUUCCAAGGAUGAAGGUGUUCUUUUGUGGCUUGCAUGCUGGAAUUGUUCAUGGAAAGAUAUUCUGGGGCAGUAGGCCCUGCCAGUCUCCUGACAAUAAAAAGGUCUGUGGGCAUUUGUUCCCUCUGUCUGGCUUGAAAUGUUAAGACCCAUGUGGGGGAACAGCACAUUCUUGCUCUGCACAGCAAGGGUGCCAGCCCACACUUUGUCAGGCUACCUUCCCAGACUUUGGCAUCAUCAGUUCCUGUAUUUAUAGCUCCUCUGUAAUAGCAAGGGGCAAAAACACAGCAGCAGGAGCUGGAUUUACAAAUAACUUCUGAAUGAAGAUGCUUAGCCAGCAGCAGCAUCUCCUGUUGUUUCUCUUAUCUAACUUGCUAAAUUCUUCACCUUCUUCCCAGCACCUCUUUCCAUAUGUGCAUGGUUUUCCUGGGCCACCAAAGUGGGGGUAGCCCCUGCCUGCUGAGCUGUACCUGGCUCUGACCACAUUUCUGUGGAAGGCCCAUGUGAAAUAUGAAGGGCUUGCCUGCAGCACCCUUCCAGCUUUUUUGGAGGGUACAGGGACUCACCCUGUGUUUGUGGAAUGUGAAUCUUGCCAAGCAGCUCUUGCCUGUCAGUGACUGAACAGCAAUGACCUUGGUCUUUCCCUGGUGAGGGCUCCACCCAGGCUGGAUCAUUUGUUUCCAGGAGCCACCACUGGCUUCUAAAGGUGAACAAAAGGGAAUGAACUAAAUAUUGUGGAAAAUAACCACAAUGUGGUGGUUCCAUCUUCUGACUCAGAGGUGUCUGUUACCAGAGCCUGGGAGGUGCAGGCAGAGAGAACCCAGUGGGAUCUGAGCAGGGCUGAGAUAAUGUUCCAGACAGCCAGUCCAUGCAGGAGUGGAGGAGGAAGAGGGCAGUUCUAGGUCAAAAUCUGUGAGGCUUUGCAGUGAAAGUGUUGGGAAGGGAGGGCUGGAAAAGUUCUUUCUUCCUCCAGGAUAGCUGUGGUCUGUUCCCCAGCUGAACUCUCACUCUUUGUCUGCUCUAAUCCACAUCUUCCCUCUGCCAGCUGGGUUUGUUUUGCAAAUGCAAAUCUGAUCUUCUUAGUUUGUCCUGUGUGUCUUGCUCAGUUUUCACUUUGUCCAAGUUUCCACCAUAUAUACUUUAGAGCAAAGCAUCCUACUUGCCCCUUUGUGACUGAAAGGGGAAAGUAUUGUGGCUCUAAUAAUAGCAGAAAUCUUCUAGUCCAAAGUAUUUUUUAGAAGGCUGGUUACAUCAGCAACUUUACUACUGCAACUCUCAUUGUGAUGUUUGACUUAUUGAAAACUGAAAGAUUCAGCCCCAUUCAAGUUUUAUGUCCAUGGAACACACCCAGCUCUAGGGCAGUGGCCAGAACAAUGUCAGCAUGAACAGAGAGCAAAACCCAAGAACUUGGUUAGAUUUUUAGACUUGAAAUGCCCUUUCAUAUUUUGAGAUACCUGUGAAAUGCAGGUAAUUGGUCAUUCUCCCCAUUCUGAAUAAAGUGAGGAGAGCAGACAUCUACUUAAAUUUUCUUGGAACAGAUCUGCAGAUGAGUCUCUGACAGACUACUUGAAACCACACUAACAUCACUCUGCAGGCCAGAAGCACAUACCAGGCCCUGGGAUUUGUGGGGCUGUCCUGCUCUGCCACAGCCCUCUGGCACACUCUAGAGUAAGUCACUGGCUUCAGAGGAGUGAAAGGGAGUUAUUUACCCAACACUGGUUGCAGUGGAAGGAUGUGAGCUCAAAAAGUGUUUGAGUAACAGGUGGCCAGCAAAGGUCAUCAGAAAGACAGGUCCAAAGGCAACACUUUUUUAACAGGUGUUCACAAGCACUGUUGAAAGAGACUGUAGUGACUUUUCUAAGGCUCUGAUAUCCCUGAGGAAACCCCCCUUUGGCAGCAGCCUGGCCUUAUGUUUCCCAUCAAUUGUAGCUUUGUCUCUUCUGAAGCCCCCUGCUGCCAACGAGCAAACAACUGGCUGAGACAAGAUGUGUGGAAAAUAUUGCCUGAGCUGGAGAGGUAAUGGCAAAUCCCAUGCCAGGAGGAAUAAUAAAAGGAGAUCAUUGAUAUAACUGUGCUAGUCUCAAUAGGUUUUCCACCAGGCAUGUGGGAGCACCUAUAAAGGAGGCAUUGUCUGUACUGUCACUGAAGGGAAACAGGAGAAAUGAGCUGGAGCAGGUGAGGGAAGGGUGGGUGUGCCUGGUGAGCAAAACUGAUCAGUAUCAGCAGAAAGGGAAGGAGUGGCUGUGAGUGCUGAGGAUCCAAAGGUGUCCAUCAGGCUGCUGUUCAUCAGCCAGACCCCUGCUCUCAGUCCCCAGUGAUAGGCUGGGACUUGAACUGCAGGUUUGAGUCCAGUGGCUUCAGUGCAUCUUGCCCAGAGCCCCCAUGCAUGAAUGCAGACUUUGCAUCUGCAAACAGUGCAGGUUUAUCAGUGUGCAGGAUCUGUGCUGUGGUGUUAGCAGGGCCUGGCCACGUGGAGAUUUUAAGGUCACUGCACCUACUGAAUGUGUUUGUUUCUAACAGAAAUGCAGAGUUAGGCCUGUGUUUGAGAGCUGUUGCAAAUGUCACCCCUGCAAGUGAUACAACGCAGAAGAGAUUCCUUGAGGGUUGGGUAUUGCACUCCCUCCCCAGGAUCUUCCUGUGACACUUCUACUGGGCAGGAGGCAGGGCAGCUUCAAUGAAUAUGGGUAUUGGUUGUCUCUAGGGACUUCACAGAAACCUCUUCUGAAACCCCACUUACAAUCUCAACCUGAUUAAAAGGCAUGGGGAAGGGUGUAUCUCACCAGUAUAGACACCCCAAGGCUCUGAACAUUUGCAGACAGGAGCACCUCUUCUCCAGCCUCUCUCCCUUUGCUUCCUUGGCUGCAGAUAACAAGUGCUUUGGUUCCAGUUUGCCUGAUUCUUGGAAACCUGAGGCAGACAACAGCCUGCUCUUUCAACAUGCUGUAGAAAAAAAAAUUAAAGGUGUGUGGGAGGGAGGAGGAGAAGAACUAUUUCCUGCAGUGAAACUUGAUCCUUUUCAACUUAAAAAUAGGAGGAAAACAAAUUCCUGUGGGACCUUCUAUAAAAGAGUUUGAUGGUUGCCUACUCCCAGCCCCACCUCCCAGAGCUCCCCAUUUGUGUGAUGCCUUGGAAGGAGCCCUCCUGAGCACAAACCCAGAUCUGUGACUGCUGGGGGCAGCAGCUCUGCUCCACGGUGGGGGUCAGCUGCAGGGGAGUGUAAUGCUCUGUGACAGGUAGCAAAGCCCAGGAUUAAGUGUUCUUUGUGUGGACCUACCAUGCAAACAGCUUUUCCUGGGCCUCUUUUUCUUGCUGUAAAUUUUGUCCAGACCUCUAUAAAGGUGCAAGGAAUUGCUGAGCAUUUUUUCAGGCUGUGCCAAGCCAGGAGCCCCCAGGAGGGAUCACACAAACAGCAGCCAA